UACGUAGGUGGCAAGCGUUAUCCGGAUUUAUUGGGCGUAAAGCGAGUGCAGGCGGUUCAAUAAGUCUGAUGUGAAAGCCUUCGGCUCAACCGGAGAAUUGCAUCAGAAACUGUUGAACUUGAGUGCAGAAGAGGAGAGUGGAACUCCAUGUGUAGCGGUGAAAUGCGUAGAUAUAUGGAGGAACACCAGUGGCGAAGGCGACGUUCUGGGCCGCAACUGACGCUGAGGCUCGAAAGCAUGGGUAGCGAACAGG
rnacentral:rRNA from 1 species